AGCAGCCGCGGUAAUUCCAGCUCCAAUAGCGUAUAUUAAAGUUGUUGCAGUUAAAAAGCUCGUAGUUGAAUUUCGGGGUCAGUAGGCUGGUCAUGCCACAGGUAUGUACUGGUCUCACUGAUUCCUCCUUCCUGAUGAACCGUAAUGCCAUUAAUUUGGUGCUGCGGGGAAACUGGACUGUUACUUUGAAAAAAUUAGAGUGUUUAAAGCAGGCUAACGCUUGAAUACGUUAGCAUGGAAUAAUGAAAUAGGACGUUCGAUCCUAUUUUGUUGGUUUUUAGGAUCAACGUAAUGAUUAAUAGGGAUAGUUGGGGGCGAUUAGUAUUCAAUUGUCAGAGGUGAAAUUCUUGGAUUUAUUGAAGACUAACUACUGCGAAAGCAUUUGCCAAGGAUGUUUUCAUUAAUCAAGAACGAAAGUUAGGGGAUCGAAGACGAUCAGAUACCGUCGUAGUCUUAACCAUAAACUAUGCCGACUAGGGAUCGGAUGAUGUUAAUUAUUUAAUGACUCAUUCGGCGUCCG
rnacentral:rRNA from 1 species